CAAAAUGUAGCUUAACCUAAAGCCCUUCGCUUACACCGAACCAAUGUCCGUUUAAACCGAACCAUUUUGA
rnacentral:tRNA from 1 species